AAAAACCAAACCAAACCACACACAGCUAACUCUCUCAUCAACAAAUCCUCACCGUCCACUCUCUCUGUUAUAAGUCGAGAUCCAACGUUUCUUCUUCCUCUCUCUCUUUCUGUUCGCUCGCUCGCCGUCUCGCGUCUACUCUGAAGAUCUGGUUGGCUCUCUGCCUCUCUCUCUCUUGUCUUCUCUUUGACCGAUCUUAAAUUUAACAAUACGAUUAUAAUUAUAAUUAUAAUUUCUUGUUUUAAUUUAUGUUAUUAUUCAGAAAUUUUUUAGUACAAGAAGAUGUUCGGAAGAGCGCCAAAGAAAAGCGAUAACACAAAGUACUAUGAGAUUCUCGGAGUCUCGAAAAACGCUUCGCAAGAUGAUCUGAAGAAGGCUUAUAGGAAAGCCGCCAUCAAAAACCAUCCUGACAAGGGCGGUGAUCCUGAGAAGGUUUAUUUUUAUUUUUUAAAAUUACGAUUUUUUGUUGUUAUUUGUUUUGGUUUUUAAUAACUCAGCAUGCUUGUUUCGAUUUACAGUUUAAAUUGUUUGCAUAUGUGGAUCAAAUUGUUUAGAUCUAUUUUUCUUUUAAAGUUUGGAUAUUUACUGGAUUGCCACUCGAGGAUUAAUUGAAACUGUGUUGUUAAGCUGAACUGCUGGAGCUGGGAACUUUGUUUUAUUGGUCAAAAUUGAAUUUUUGUUUUUUUGUGCCAUAUUUGGUAAUUUAAUUGAUAGUGUGAUUACUGAACAUCUGAAAUUUUACUUGUUAUUCAGUUUAAAGAGUUGGCACAAGCGUAUGAGGUUCUGAGUGACCCAGAGAAGCG
rnacentral:lncRNA from 1 species